AUGGCUAUUAACCAUCAACUUUUCUUCCCAAUUGAAAGUGCUUUACAACCCUAAGGCCUUCUUCACACACGCGGCAUGGCUGCGUCAGGCUUCCGCCCAUUGCGCAAUAUUCCCC
rnacentral:rRNA from 1 species